GAAACCCCUGAAGGCAGAAGCUGUGCUUUGUGUCUCUGUGUUCCCGUUGCACAGUCCAGUGCUGGCCAUAGGAGGCCCUCUCCAGCGGCCAUUGGAUGGGAAAAUGGCCACACUUCCUUUCUGGAAUCUACUCGUUAGCAGCCUAAUGUAAAAGACAUGAGGGCAGGACUACCCCCACCCCAAUUUCCCCAGGACCCAGCAUAAUCUUUUGCAUGGUGCUUCUUAAAGCCAUUUCCGGGGCAGAAGAGGACCAUGUCAUCAAGCUGAAGAAGGUGUUCGUUGGAUGCUUCCGCAGCAGGAGGGCGGGUCCACUCUCAAUCCCUCUCUAUCCCUUGUCAGCUUAAAAAGGAGGUCAGAAUCUUAUUGGAAAAGGGACCUGUGGUGGUGACUUCAAGCUGGCUACGUUAUCCUCACUCCUGCGCUCAAAUUUGGGCUGGUCCUGUCACUAGCUUUGACCAGUGGGCUGUGAUGGGAACAGUGUUGCAUAAUCUCCAAGGCUGGGCCUUAAAGGAUCUGCAGCUCUGGCUUUUGCCACUCUUAGAGUACUUCUUCCUGGAAGCCAGCCACCAUGUAAGGAACCAGACCUCCCUAAGAGCACCAUGCUGUGAGGAAGCCCAAGCGAGUGGCCUGGAAUGAGAGUGUGAGAGCAGCACAGAAGCAGUUCAUGAGGUCAAUCGUUUCUGCUGCUCCUGGGCUAGACACAGAGAAGUUGUAGAGGUGGCAUCAGGAGAUGGUUCUCACUCUGGCUUUGCAACUGAAACAGCUGGGCGAUGUCAUGGAAGUCACUUCAAUUCUCCUGGCCUCUUUCUUCAGAUGAUGUCUAAGGUCUCUUCCAGCUUAAAGGAAUGGUUGUAUUUGUCUUCCGAUGGAGAGCAGGUAUCCAAGAGGCCCAUUAGGCUGGUCCUUGGGAGGCUGUAGGAAUGAGAGUCAGUGGCAAGUUCUCAGAUUGUGAUGAUAAUAGACUGUGUAUCCCAGGGAUGAAGGAAGAGAAGUAGAAAGGAUUUUCUAGACUGGAGAAGCUGGUCAGUGAAAAAAUAGGAGAUUGCAUUCCAGACACCAGAGAGCUAUAAGAAAAAUUGCAUCUGUUUUCAUUAAAUGUUAGAGAUGACUUUGAACAGAACCCAAGUGAAACUGCAAACACAUCUGAGAAAAUCCUAGCGCCAUCUUGGAUCUCAGAAACUCCAGCCAGCUCUCUAGUCACAAGUAGUUCACAAACUACCCUCCUAUUAGCUCAUUAAUAACACUCCGGGACAGGGCAAUGCUUCCAUUUGUCCAACUAUUUCUCUGAUAUCAGAUCAUAAAAUCAUACUUCUUGAAAGUCACCUAUUCUUGAACAUUUACUCUCUGAAUUGAUUUUACAACUAUAGUAUCUUAUCUAAAUCAUUUCACACUUCUUUUUAAAGUUUGAAGAUAUGUAGUGUUUCAUCUCACUUCCCUCCUUAUAUAUUUUUCUAUUAAACAUCAUAUGGAGAAAUGCGUCUACUAAAUAAUUAAUAUCAUCCACCUUUAUGAUUUUUAAUGUAUAACUAUACAUUCACAUGCCCUUGAUAUGUAUCAUAUAUACAAUGGUGUGCUUUUCUGUGUAUACUUUUGUUUUACAUUUAAACAAAGCAAACUACCUGAAUCUGGAUACAUUAAACUCUUUAAUGAUGUAAAAAAUA